rnacentral:sRNA from 12 species
GCUCUGUUGUCGAUGGGCAACAGGCCGACCAUUUAAGUGGUCAGCCGAUCACACCUGCUUCGGCAAACACAUUGCAGGGGUCGGCCAUAAGGGGGAGUAGCAACAUGAUUGUGAAAGCCCUAGGCCGC